rnacentral:lncRNA from 1 species
CUGCAGCCCACAGACUAUGCAGUAUGCAGGAUUGCCUUAAUAAUUUCAUAAAGUUCUCUGGAAGAAGACUGGUCAGGCAUCUUUGGAGCAAUGUUGACAAUGUCAUCAAAGAUACUAAUCAGCUGUUGUCUGGGAAGAAGAGAGAAUAGGGUGCAAACUUCUACCAGCCAAAGGAGGAGAGAAGAAUUAAGUGAAAGCAGGCUGGCCACAAGGAGGAAGGAAGAUAAAGUUCUUGAGAACUCAACAGAAAAUCGAAGGCCUA